GAUCAUGGCUCAGGAUGAACGCUGGCGGCGUGCCUAAUACAUGCAAGUAGAACGCUGAAGCUUGGUGCUUGCACCGAGCGGAUGAGUUGCGAACGGGUGAGUAACGCGUAGGUAACCUGCCUCUUAGCGGGGGAUAACUAUUGAAACGAUAGCUAAUACCGCAUAAAAGUCGACAUCGCAUGAUGUUGACUUGAAAGUGCAAUUGCAGUCACUAAGNGAUGG
rnacentral:rRNA from 1 species